ACGGCUCAGUAACACGUGGAUAACCUGCCCUUAGGUUUGGCAUAACUCCGGGAAACUGGAGAUAAUUCCGAAUAGGUCAAAUAUGCUGGAAUGCUUUUUGGCCAAAAGACCUCGGUUGCCUAAGGAUGGAUCUGCGGUCUAUCAGGUAGUAGUGGGUGUAACGUACCUACUAGCCUACGACGGAUAUGGGUUGUGAGAGCAAGAGCCCAGAGAUGGAUUCUGAGACAUGAAUCCAGGCCCUACGGGGCGCAGCAGGCGCGAAAACUUUACAAUGCGGGAAACCGCGAUAAGGGGACACCGAGUGCCAGCAUUUAUGUUGGCUGUCCACAUGUGUAAACGGCAUGUGUUAGCAAGGGCCGGGCAAGACCGGUGCCAGCCGCCGCGGUAACACCGGCGGCCCGAGUGGUAAUCACUUUUAUUGGGUCUAAAGGGUCCGUAGCCGGUUUGAUCAGUUCUUCGGGAAAUCUGACAGCUCAACUGUUAGGCUUCCGGGGAAUACUGUCAGACUUGGGACCGGGAGAGGUAAGAGGUACUACAGGGGUAGGAGUGAAAUCUUGUAAUCCCUGUGGGACCACCAGUGGCGAAGGCGUCUUACCAGAACGGGUCCGACGGUGAGGGACGAAAGCUGGGGGCACGAACCGGAUUAGAUACCCGGGUAGUCCCAGCCGUAAACGAUGUUCGCUAGGUGUCAGGGGCGGUGCGACCGCUUCUGGUGCCGUAGGGAAGCCGUGAAGCGAACCACCUGGGAAGUACGGCCGCAAGGCUGAAACUUUAAGGAAUUGGCGGGGGAGCACUACAACGGGUGGAGCCUGCGGUU
rnacentral:rRNA from 1 species